UACGAAGGGGGCUAGCGUUGCUCGAAUUGACUGGGCGUAAAGGGCGCGUAGGCGGAUAGUACAGUCAGGCGUGAAAUUCCUGGGCUCAACCUGGGGGGCUGCGUUUGAUACGUGUUGUCUGGAGUUCGGAAGAGGGUCGUGGAAUUCCCAGUCGUAGAGGUGAAAUUCGUAGAUAUUGGGAAGAACACCGGUGGCGAAGGCGGCGACCUGGUCCGAUACUGACGCUGAGGCGCGAAAGCGUGGGGAGCAAACAGG
rnacentral:rRNA from 1 species